rnacentral:ncRNA from 1 species
GCGGAGAAAAUCCGCUGGGAUGUAACCGUUUAGGUUGAACCAUAAA